CGAAUCCAGACCCUACGGGGUGCAGCAGGCGCGAAAACUUGGCAAUGCGAGCAAUCGUGACCAGGGAACUCCAAGUGCGUAGGGUAAGACCUACGCUUUUCUUGACUCUUCAAAGGUCUUGGAAUAAGGGGUGGGUAAGGACGGUGCCAGCCGCCGCGGUAAUACCGGCGCCUCAAGUGGUAGUCGCUUNUAUUGGGCCUAAAACGUCCGUAGCCGGUCUGGUGCAUUCGUGGGUAAAUCAACCCGCUCAACGGGUUGAAUUCUGCGAGCACGGCCAGACUUGGGACCGGGAGAGGUGUGGGGUACUCUCAGGGUAGGGGUAAAAUCCUGUCAUCCUGAGAGGACCACCUGUUGCGAAGGCGCCACACUAGAACGGAUCCGACGGUCAGGGACGAAACCUAGGGGCACGAACCGGAUUAGAUACCCGGGUAGUCCUAGGUGUAAACGCUGUGGACUUGAUGUUGGGGGCGCUCCGAGCGCUCUCAGUGUNGAAGCGAAGGUGAUAAGUCCACUGCCUGGGGAGUACGGUCGCAAGGCUGAAACUUAAAGGAAUUGGCGNNNNNNNNCUGCAACCUGAGGAUUGUGCGGUUUAAUU
rnacentral:rRNA from 1 species